GAUGAAGAACGUAGCGAAAUGCGAUAAGUAAUGUGAAUUGCAGAAUCCAGUGAAUCAUCGAAUCUUUGAACGCACAUUGCGCCCGCCAGUAUUCUGGCGGGCAUGCCUGUUCGAGCGUCAUUUCAACCAUCAAGCCCCCGGCUUGUGUUGGGGACCUGCGGCUGCCGCAGGCCCUGAAAAGCAGUGGCGGGCUCGCUGUCACACCGAGCGUAGUAGCAUACAUCUCGCUCUGGGCGUGCUGCGGGUUCCGGCCGUUAAACCACCUUCAUAACCCAAGGUUGACCUCGGAUCAGGUAGGAAGACCCGCUGAACUUAAGCAUAUCAAUAAGCGGAGGA
rnacentral:misc_RNA from 1 species